UUUCGACGGUGCAAACGGCCGGUCCCUGCUCGAAAUCGGUGGCCACGAAGGAACUAUCAACUGCGUCACUUUUUCUCCAGACGGUGCACACGUCGCGACUGCAUCUUACGACGGGAGCUG
rnacentral:sRNA from 11 species